GUUGGUUUAAUUCGAAGCAACGCGAAGAACCUUACAGGUCUUGACAUCCCGAUGCUAUUUCUAGAGAUAGAAAGUUACUUCGGUACAUCGGUGACAGGUGGUGCAUGGUUGUCGUCAGCUCGUGUCGUGAGAUGUUGGGUUAAGCCCCGCAACGAGCGCAACCCCUAUUGUUAGUUGCCAUCAUUCAGUUGGGCACUCUAGCGAGACUGCCGGUAAUAAACCGGAGAAGUGGGGAUGACGUCAAAUCAUCAUGCCCCUUAUGACCUGGGCUACACACGUGCUACAAUGGUUGGUACAACGAGUUGCGAGUCGGUGACGGCGAGCUAAUCUCUUAAAGCCAAUCUCAGUUCGGAUUGUAGGCUGCAACUCGCCUACAUGAAGUCGGAAUCGCUAGUAAUCGCGGAUCAGCACGCCGCGGUGAAUACGUUCCCGGGCCUU
rnacentral:rRNA from 1 species